UACGUAGGGUGCAAGCGUUAUCCGGAAUUAUUGGGCGUAAAGAGCUCGUAGGCGGUUUGUCGCGUCUGCUGUGAAAACUGGAGGCUCAACCUCCAGCCUGCAGUGGGUACGGGCAGACUAGAGUGCGGUAGGGGAGAUUGGAAUUCCUGGUGUAGCGGUGGAAUGCGCAGAUAUCAGGAGGAACACCGGUGGCGAAGGCGGUUCUCUGGGCAUUACCUGACGCUGGAGGAGCGAAAGCAUGGGGAGCGAACAGG
rnacentral:rRNA from 1 species